GAGUUUGAUUAUGGCUCAGAUUGAACGCUGGCGGCAUGCCUUACACAUGCAAGUCGAACGGCAGCACGGGAGCAAUCCUGGUGGCGAGUGGCGAACGGGUGAGUAAUAUAUCGGAACGUGCCCAGUAGUGGGGGAUAGCCCGGCGAAAGCCGGAUUAAUACCGCAUACGACCUACGGGUGAAAGCGGGGGAUCGCAAGACCUCGCGCUAUUGGAGCGGCCGAUAUCAGAUUAGCUUGUUGGCGGGGUAAAAGCCCACCAAGGCGACGAUCUGUAGCUGGUCUGAGAGGACGACCAGCCACACUGGGACUGAGACACGGCCCAGACUCCUACGGGAGGCAGCAGUGGGGAAUUUUGGACAAUGGGCGCAAGCCUGAUCCAGCCAUGCCGCGUGUGGGAAGAAGGCCUUCGGGUUGUAAACCACUUUUGUCAGGGAAGAAACGGCUCUUACUAAUAUUAGGGGCUAAUGACGGUACCUGAAGAAUAAGCACCGGCUAACUACGUGCCAGCAGCCGCGGUAAUACGUAGGGUGCAAGCGUUAAUCGGAAUUACUGGGCGUAAAGCGUGCGCAGGCGGCUUUGCAAGACAGAUGUGAAAUCCCCGGGCUCAACCUGGGAACUGCAUUUGUGACUGCAUGGCUAGAGUACGGUAGAGGGGGAUGGAAUUCCGCGUGUAGCAGUGAAAUGCGUAGAUAUGCGGAGGAACACCGAUGGCGAAGGCAAUCCCCUGGACCUGUACUGACGCUCAUGCACGAAAGCGUGGGGGAGCAAACAGGAUUAGAUACCCUGGUAGUCCACGCCCUAAACGAUGUCAACUGGUUGUUGGACGGCUUGCUGUUCAGUAACGAAGCUAACGCGUGAAGUUGACCGCCUGGGGAGUACGGCCGCAAGUUGAAACUCAAAGGAAUUGACGGGACCCGCACAAGCGUGGAUGAUGUGGUUUAAUUCGAUGCAACGCGAAAACCUUACCUACCCUUGACAUGUCUAGAGUUACCAGAGAUGGGUUUCGUGCUCGAAAGAGAACUAGAACCACAAGGUGC
rnacentral:rRNA from 1 species